rnacentral:tRNA from 1 species
GGAGUUGUGGCUCAGUGGUAAGAGCACUUGCCUAGUAUGUGUGAGGUCCUGGGUUCGAUUCUCAGCACCA